rnacentral:rRNA from 1 species
UGGGGAAUAUUGGACAAUGGGCGAAAGCCUGAUCCAGCCAUGCCGCAUGAGUGAAGAAGGCCUUUGGGUUGUAAAGCUCUUUUAGUGAGGAAGAUAAUGACGGUACUCACAGAAGAAGUCCUGGCUAACUCCGUGCCAGCAGCCGCGGUAAUACGGAGAGGGCUAGCGUUAUUCGGAAUUAUUGGGCGUAAAGGGCGCGUAGGCUGGUUAAUAAGUUAAAAGUGAAAUCCCGAGGCUUAACCUUGGAAUUGCUUUUAAAACUAUUAAUCUAGAGAUUGAAAGAGGAUAGAGGAAUUCCUGAUGUAGAGGUAAAAUUCGUAAAUAUUAGGAGGAACACCAGUGGCGAAGGCGUCUAUCUGGUUCAAAUCUGACGCUGAAGCGCGAAGGCGUGUGGAGCAAACA